UACGAGGGGUGCAAGCGUUACUCGGAAUUACUGGGCGUAAAGCGUGCGUAGGCGGUCUGUUAAGUCCGUUGUGAAAGCCCUGGGCUCAACCUGGGAAUUGCAUUGGAUACUGGCGGACUGGAGUGUGGUAGAGGCUAGUGGAAUUCCCAGUGUAGCGGUGAAAUGCGUAGAUAUUGGGAAGAACACCGGUGGCGUAGGCGACUAGCUGGGCCAUAACUGACACUGAGGAACGAAAGCCAGGGGAGCGAAUGGG
rnacentral:rRNA from 1 species